UGCCGGUAUCGUUAACGUUUGUAACUCCCACCUCGCUGCUCGCGGAUGCGGCCCCGCGGCCAGGGACACGCGUGGGGGAGUCCGGAUUGUGGGUGUCACCGUGGCGAGGUUUGAAAGCGUUGAAGGCAGAGCGGAGAGCGAGGCGGAACGGCUGCCCGGGGGUCUGGACUUACUUUAGGUAUCAAACCUGCGCCUCCCUGUGCAGCUGCGUUUUUAGAACAGUCAUUCUGAAACUUCGUGUAUCUGCCAGGUUUUAUUCCCGCUAAACCUCCCGGUCGCUUUGCAGCAUCAAUUGGUAUCUCAUGCCUCUGCCUCGCAGAUCUUACAGGGAUUUCUCCAUCUCCAGAAGCUCUGCUGUCCCCCCAGGACCCCUCUCCACCAAAGCCGGUUCCUUGUCUAAAUAUAGCAAAAAUGGAUUUAUCCUGCCCUGCUGUCCUCCGGCAGGUUGCAGGCACUUACUGCCGAUACCGCUGGAACAGUUAAAGGCUGGGACGUGGGAUAAUUCCCUUCCUUGAAAUCCUCAGCACAGUUGAGAAGCCAGCACCAACUCUCCCGUUCCCAUUACAGCUAAUGGACUGAGGUCAGCCACAUCCAAACUUGUAAUGAAUUCUGUAUGUGCAUGCAGCCACUUGUUUUCCCAUUAAAAACAUAAAAGGAUAAAAUUACAAGUCAGUAAUUCCAGCUGCUGUGAUUGCAGUUUGGGAGCACCCCUCCUGUAAUGGCAUCAGUUGUGUCUUCUCAAUUUUACAGCUUCCCCAGCAUCCUCUUGUGCACCAUUAUUUGUAUGUGGCGCACCUUUCCCACUCUCUGCAACCAUUAAUUCUUGGAUUCUUAGUGAUCACUGUUUGUAUUGCUUAUUUUGCAAGCCUGUCUAUAGUGUCUAAUUAUGUGUUUGAAAUAAUAUUAUGUAAUUUUUAAUAAAGCUAAUGACAAUGUUUAGAAUAUAUGAUUU
rnacentral:lncRNA from 14 species